GACAGAGGUGCCAAGCGUUAGGCGGAAUCACUGGGCUUAAAGCGUGUGUAGGCGGAUCGUUAAGUACCUUGUGAAAUCCCCAGGCUCAACCUGGGAACUGCGUCCGAUACUGGAUGGCUUGAAUCCGGGAGAGGGAUGCAGAAUUCCAGGUGUAGCGGUGAAAUGCGUAGAUAUCUGGAGGAAUACCGGUGGCGAAGGCGGCAUCCUGGACCGGCAUUGACGCUGAGGAGCGAAAGCCAGGGGAGCAAACGGG
rnacentral:rRNA from 1 species